rnacentral:lncRNA from 1 species
CCCCCCAACCCUCCCCACCAUGUGCUGGGGGGGUCUCUCCUGGGUGGGCACCGCCUGCUCCGUGCCUCAGUUUCCCCUCGGGGGCUCCAAGGCACGGGGAGGGUCCCGGGAGCACCUCGGUGGGAUGGAAGGGGGGGGACACUGAUGUCCUGUGUGUCCCCCCCCCCCGGGGUUUUGCCAGCUCGCGGCAGAUCGUGGGGGUGGCCACCACGGUGUCGGUGGAGCCCCCGGCCAUCAGCGUGACGCGGAGGAAUUGCCGGCGGGGGGGCGGCGGCGCCGUCUGCCUGAGGGCCAGGGUCUGCUUCCGAGCCAGCAGCCGGGCACCGGGACAGCGGGACCGGGACAUCGAGCUGCAGUACAACGUGUCCCUGGAGGAGCGGGGUGGGGGGGCCCGCGCCGCCUUCGACUCGGGCGCCCGGCGGCUGCUGCAGCGGCGCACGGAGCUGGAGCUGGGCAGGCAGAGCUGCCUCCGCUUCCCCUUCCACGUCCUGGUGAGCACAGCAUCCCCCCCCCCCCUCCCUUAUCCUCCCCCCCCCCCCCCCCCCCCCCCCGGGGGGGGCCCUCCGCGCCCCCCCCCCUUGCUCCUAGCCCCCUGUCCCCUUGCAGAUCCCCUUCUUCAAGGACUGCGGCGAGGACGAUGAGUGCGUCGCCGACCUGGUGCUGCGCGCCACCAUGGACAUCGCCGGGGAUGGGUACGGGGCUGGGGACGGGCACGGGGGGGGCCCAAAAAAAUCCCCCCCGGGGCCGUAACCCCCCCCGUACUGCAGGCAGAGCCCCCACGUCCUGCGCAAGGGCAGGAGGAAGGCGGUGCUGGACGCGGUGCUGGAGAACAAGGGCGAGAACGCCUACAACGCCAGCCUGCUCCUGAGCUUCUCCAGCAACCUGCUCUUCUCCAGCCUCGUGCUCCAGGUGAGGCCCCCCCCCCCCCAGCACCCCCCCCCGGGUAAAAAUCUGGGGGUGCUCAGCCCCCUUGGGGACCACCCUCUGCCUCCCAAGCCCCCCCCGGGGUGGCCGCGGGGACCCACUUCACCCUGUUUG